rnacentral:lncRNA from 1 species
GCGGCUGUAAGCAAUUCUCAUUUCAGAGUCACCUGACAUUCCCGGGGGGGCCCUCCCUUUCCUGUUCAAGUAUGCCUAACUAGCCAGUCUAGGAGUUUAUGGCCUCUCUUUAUAUGGCAUGAAGAUAUUGUGGCUUGAUUGGCCUUAUUCCAGACCCUUGGAAGUCCAGGUGUCAAGAGUAGGGAAGGCCUUUUUCAGUAAGAACUUUGCAGUCUAGUGGAAAAAAACAGAGCUCCUCCUCUCAAAGAUUCUGGCAUAACAUGUGGAGCCCUGUCACCGGAUAAGAAGGCGCACUAUUCUAUCUCUCCAAUUCUACCCUUGGACCAAAAUCAGGCACAUGGACUCUUUCUGCCUUUGAAUGACUUCCUUCCCUUGUAUUUGAAUAACUUUCUGCCUUUGAAUAAUUUCUUUCCCUUGUAUUUGAGGCUACUUGAUAGAUUCUCUAGAUGAAUUCAGAUAGGACUUACUUUCAGAAUGAAUACAACUCAGGCUAUUAAUCUGUGACCUCAGAAUACAGAAAUUAUUAUCCCCAUCAUGUGGAUGAGGCAGCUCAGAGAAAUUGAAAAGCUCACCGCAGUCACCUGCCAAAUAAAUGGCAAAGCAAAGCUAUCUGAAGCGAGAUCUACCUGACCCCCUAAGCCCAUGCUCUCCCCUAGCACCAUCUGUGUCAUGUCUAAUGUACAGUUGUCUCAUGCUCUAAGAUUGUAGGGGUGCUGUGGUCACCUAGCAGCAAACCUUGCUGGCAAACAAGCACAGCUUAUAAGCAGAGAACUUCCUCUUUUUGAAGCCACCUCAAACUGCCUCUGGGAAGGAAUUCCCAUAGCUACUUGGAGGAGCCUAGGUCCUCAGGGCCUGCAUGAAAACUGGAGUGGACAUAGGACACAAGUUGUAAGCAGAGAAGACCUCACUUCAGAU